GCUAAACGCGAAGAACCUUACCCAGGCUUGACAUCCUGUUAAUCACUCCGAAAGGAGAGAGUGCCUUCGGGCCGCAGUGACAGGUGAUGCAUGGCCGUCGUCAGCUCGUGUCGUGAGAUGUUUGGUUAAGUCCAUCAACGAGCGCAACCCUUAUGAGUAGUUGUAUUUCUCUACUCAGACUGCCCUGGUAACAGGGAGGAAGGAGGGGAUGAUGUCAGGUCAGUAUCUCCCUUACGUCUGGGGCUACAAACACGCUACAAUGGCCGGUACAAAGGGCAGCCAACCCGCGAGGGGGAGCAAAUCCCAUCAAAGCCGGUCUCAGUUCGGAUUGUAGGCUGAAACUCGCCUGCAUGAGGCUGGAAUCGCUAGUAAUGGUAGGUCAGCACACUACCGUGAAUACGUUCCCGGGUCUUGUACACACCG
rnacentral:rRNA from 1 species